GAGAGGGAGAGAGAGCGCGAGGGAGAGCGACACUGCCAGUCAGGUUAAUCAUCCCUACUUUAAUUAGCUGUUCGGCUUAGACAUAAAACAAUUGAAUUUGAAUGAUCUGUCAGCAGGCUCGGCUGAACCAAAGGGGAAAAGCGAAUAUUACAAAAAGACUGUUGGUGUGUUCUGAUAAGCAAUACUGCUCGUACUGACAAAUCCUCAAAGGGGGAACUAUUAAAACUUACAACUAAACAAAAAGUGCAAAUACAAAUGGCACUAGAUAGAGGUCUUUAAAAAAAUGGAGUUUCUCCCUGAGUUUUAUGAACGGUAGGUAUUUAUGCGCGGGUGCCAACAUAUUAGGGUCUGCGUGUAAUGUGUGAAAGUUUAUUAACGAUGGUCUAGGAGUGUAGCAGACAGAUGCUGCAGAGAACAAGACAGGUACAGUCAGAUGCCGAGUCUAGAUCUUGGAGGGAGAUGGAUGCUGGAAGAAGAGGCACCGUGGCAAGACAUCAGCACAGACAAAGUCAGUGGGCAGACAGGCAGGCAGAUUUUAGGCACGGCACGAUCUCGUCUAAAAAGGCAAAAGUUCUGAUGUAAUAAUAGGUGCAAAACAAUCCAUCCAUCCUCUCUCCCGGGAGCGCUCGAAGGUACAGUUAAAAUGGAUUAAUCUUUGUGACAAACAGAGCUGGCAAGGCAGACUAUGGCAGACACCGAAGGCGCUUCGCAGACCCAGAGAAUACCAGAGCCGGAAACAGCCACGGAGAUCAAUCUCCCCGACGCCCUCAUUUAGCAGACGAGGAAACUGAGGCCCAGAGUCUCAGGCUAAUGAAUCUCAAAGGCAGUAGCAAGGACACUGGAACCCAGGGCCCCAGCGGCCCACCAGGCUGGUGCUCUUUCUGUCAUCCCAGCUAACCUCCAGCUUCCUUCACAGACCCUGACCCAACAGGGGCGAAAGAGGUGCUCAUGAAGAUAGCAGAGCCGUCAGAUGUUCCUGCACAGAUUAAGUCUCUUGUCCUGAAACAAGAAUCGUGGUGUAUAUAAAAGUGAACACUCUCUCUCAGUCAUACUUCUGUUGCUACUUAGGGUGGAAGAAGAAAACUGAAAGAAAUGUCAGGCACCUGGGAGCCCACUGGAGGGCAGACCUGUUCUGGGCCGGUGCUGUGGUGUGCCUGUUUGAGUCCCCCCUAGAUUCACACGAUGGAAUCCUGAUCCACAGUGUGAUGGUGUUAGGAAGUGAGGCCUCUGGCAGGGGCUCAUAACGGCAGAGCUCUCCUGAAUGGGAUUCGUGUUCUUAUCCAAGAGGCCACACAGCUCCUUCUGCCACGCGAGGAUAAAAACAGAAGUCUUCCGCCCGGAAGAGGACCAUCACCAGCCCUUGUGCCACCCUGAUCUCAGACCUGCACCCUCCACGACUUGUGGGAGAUGAAUUUCUGUUUUUUUCCUAAGCCACCCAAUCUGUGGUAUUUUGUUACAGCAGCCUGGACGGCUAAGACAGUCUGCAUGGGUACCGCAGAAAUGUUUCUCUAUACAAUCUGACAGGUACAAUCCGAAGCAGCACAAGGACCACACGCUUCAACAAGCAGAGCCGGAGCAUUAACACCAGCUCUGGAGCAACCGCAGCCUUGAAUUCUGGGUACUUGGAUGAUCCCCGGAUGUGACCCGGGAAGAGCACGCUGCGCCUGCGCGUCGCCGGAUCCUCCUCGGUUUUCUUCCCCUUCCGUCUUCCCCGUACACGCAGUUUUCACGUUUCAAAACGUCAUAGGCGGCUUCUGAAUAGAGUGCUUUUCAAAUACACUUUAUAUUUUACUCCUAACUAAAGGGGAGAGGGGGAGUAUUUUAUUAUAGAUGAACUGAAUUUGACAGUAAAUCUGUUAUUUUGGAUUAUUUGUGAGUUGUGGCUAAAGAAGCACAUUCGGUCUAAAUAUUGAGAAUACUUGAGAAUGUAAGAGCUGAGAAGCCGAGCCCAGUGGUUACCAACCCAGGCUGCAUGUUACAAUCAUUGAGGAAGGUUUAAAAAAUAAGAUCCGGAGCCUUGGCUCCCUCCCCUCUCUUCUCCAAAUGAUUCUGAUAUAAUGUCAGUUUUGGUGGCCUAGCGCCAGUUAUGGGGACUGAGGAUCUUCAUUUAACUGACGAGGGAUCUGAGACCCAGAGAGGAACAGUGACUUCUCUAAGGUCACACAGGAGUAUAUUAUGUAUGAAGAUAAAAGACUGCGGCUAAUGUGAAAUUGACCCCAUUGCUAUACUGCAAAUUACUUCAUUACUUUAGAAUAUGUUUUGUAUGUCUGGAUGUAUAAUGCAAUAAUUCCUUCAUCUGCAAGCCACUUAUGUGGCAUUCCAAAUCUGGUUAAGAAGAGGAAGGAUGUGAAAAGACCCGAAAACAGCCCAAAGUGGCAUAAGGGAAAUCACACAGAAAUCCCUCAAGUUUCUCUGAUGGGCUCUGCCUCUUGCCUCUUUGUCCUCUUUGUCUUUGAGACAGAGAUAGCUGAACAUCUCCAUCUCCAAGCCUGACUUUCUGCUGCCCUGUAGUCUCGUGUCUCCAAAAGCCCAGAGGACCUCUCAUGGAUCCCCAGUCAGUAUCUUCACUCAGUGUGUUCAAAAUUAAACUCGCAUCUUCCUCUCCCAUACCUGCUCCUGCUCCACAGACCUCUGCUUCUGUUUAUGGUCCCAUGCUGGCUCCAAAUCAUAGCCAUGUCUUCAGUGCUUUCCUCCCUCAUGUCCCCCAAACAUGAUGGAUUAAUCCUCUUUCUGCCAUGUCUCAUAAAUCAGCUCACCAGCUCUGUUUGCUCCCUCUGCCUCUGCCCUAGUUAGGGCCCUCACUGCCUCUUCCUGGACUGCUGAUUGUCUCCUACCUGACCUGUGUCCUCUGGUCACUCCCCACUCAGAUCUACUUUAUUCACUCUUGCCAGAUUAAUCUUUCUGAGGCACAGCUCUGAUUAUGUUACUCUAAAAACUUUCAAUAGCUCCCCAUUGUCUACUGAAUAAAGUCCAAAUUCCUUGGCCAGCUAAUCAAGCCCUCUCACUUACUGGUCUCAUCUGCUUUCACCACUUUAUUUCCCACUACUCGCCUCUGCACACGACAUGGUCUAGUUAAACUCAACUACUUCUCUGCAGAAUCUUUCCCCUCUGAUUCUUCCAGGCAUUGCUCAUGGUUUCAGAAAUGUUCUUUUUUCCCCAUCUUUGUGUGCUCAAGUCCUCCUUGCCUUUCGAGACCCAAAUCCAGUAUCAGCUCUUCUGGUAAAUCCCCCAGGUAGCCCUUCUCUGAAUUCCAGGAACACUUUAUCUGUACUACUUUCAUAGAGCCUGGCACCUUCUACUAUGGAUGCUAGCAAAGUAGGCCCAUGUCUCAGCUCUGCUGCUAGAUUAAAGCUUGCUGAGGGAAGGAUUGGUGUCUUGUUUAUCUGUGUGUCCUUUCCAUUGCUGAAAACAUAGUGCACUGCUCAGAAAUAUUUGUCCAGUGAAGGAGUGAAUGCAAGGGCUUUAUAUGCAAUCUAAACAAGGUUGGUUGGUUGUUUCCCUGGUCCAAACCAGAUUACAAGUAGUGCAUUCGAGAAGGAAUGAAGAUCUUAGAGGCUUGCACAACAAGAACUAACUUGAUAGCUAAAGAAGAUAAAUAAAAACUAUAAAAAGAAGAGAUGAGGACUAAAAAUAUUAUAGUAGUCUGAGGGUAAAUAAACACAGAAGAAAAGAAUCUUAUAGACUAACGACCAGUGGUUAAUGCCAUGUGGAACUGCUUUGAAACCACAAAAUAAUAUUCAAAUAUACAGUGUUAUUUUUAUACUUAGCACCAGUAGACACACAAAGCAGUUGUUUAGACACACAAAACAGUCGAUGACCCUAAAGAUAGAUAAAUAAAAUAAAUAAAUUAAAAAAAUGAUGACCCUGAGUCGUUAAAAAAUGUUUGAGUUAUGGUAAGCAUAUGAUCAGAAAGCUGGAUAUGCACAUAAAUUUAAGACACUAUAUAUCAAAACUUAAUAAAGUAAAAAACAUCUUUUGGUAAUUAAGAGGAGAUAAACUUCUACUUAUCGGUUAUACGGAAUAUUCUGUUACAUCAGCUGAUUUCCAAAGUGAAGUCAGAUAAAUAUCUCUCUCUUUACACACAAGUACACCUAUAUUCUCCUAAAUAUUGGAGAAAUAAUUUUGGUAUCAUUAAAAAUGAAAUAGGCCCCGAUAUAUAAUUUCAGAAAUGUCAGAAAGUAGUAAGACAAAACAAUUAAAAAAAAGUCAGAUUUCUAAGAUCCACAAUCUAUUAUUUAAAAUAAGUGGUUUUGAUUAUACAAUAUGUAAAUUAUGUACAUCACCUUUUAAUUAAAAUGUAACGUAAAAAGUCCAGGUUAUUAUAAGCUUUUUAUCAACAUUUUAAUGGCUCAAAAAAUUCUACCUAGUGGAUAUGUCAUAAUACAUUUAACCAGCCCCCUAGAAUUGAAUAUAUAGUUUAUUUCCAGUUUUAUAAUAUAGAUAUAUCUAGCAAGAUUUGCUGUGUUCUGAUAA